rnacentral:lncRNA from 13 species
CAGGUGCCAUCUUGUGAUUCCGUCUUUACAAUAUGGCCUUUUAUUUGCUGAAGACAGGCACAAGAGAAGGAUAAUGUAAGACUUUCUCACUGCCUUAGUGUGAAAUUGAACCAUGUCUCUUCCAUUUUUUUUCCACUCACAGUCCAUUUGCCAGAAUUAAUCACAUGGUCCUGCCUAACUGCAAGAGGGGCAGGUACACAGGAGGAAGAAAGGAGCCAGAUUUGAUUCCAUGUGUUUUGGGUAAAGUUACUACUAGGAAUCCAUUUUUGUGGGACAAUGCCCCUUCAGAGGAUCUUCAGAGUAAGAACUUAAGAGUGAUGAAUCAUAGAAGAAACAGUAACACUAUUUUAGCUCUAGUGAAACCUUCUGUUCACUUAUAAGCCAAGAAGAUAAAGAGGACUGAAUUUCAAAAAUAAGAUAUCUCCUCAAAUGGCGUCACCAACCUCUGUUGGUAAGUGUCUGUAAUAGAAAAGUAAGCAUUGACUACAAAAAACAGGAGUAUUGUUUAUGGUGCCAGAGAAGAUGAACAAAAUUUAUGGCAAUCUUUCAGGCACCAGGCCUAAUAAGG